rnacentral:rRNA from 1 species
UGAGGAAUUUGUCUGUAAUGGAUAAAACACCUAAAUCUUACUAAAAUUUGUUAAAUCAGUUUGUAUACCACUAUUAAAGUAGUAUUUCAUAACUAUUACUUAAAUUUUUUAAAAAAAUAAAUUAAGUCAAGGUGCAGCAAAAGUUUUAGGAUGAAGUGAAUUACAAUUCUUUUUAGUUUUUAAAAUUUUUUUAAAAAAAUUUUAAAAUAGGAUUUGAAAGUAAAAAAUCAAUAGUAUGGCUUU